rnacentral:rRNA from 1 species
CCUGGUGGCGAGUGGCGAACGGGUGAGUAAUACAUCGGAACGUGCCCUGUAGUGGGGGAUAACUAGUCGAAAGACUAGCUAAUACCGCAUACGACCUGAGGGUGAAAGUGGGGGACCGCAAGGCCUCAUGCUAUAGGAGCGGCCGAUGUCUGAUUAGCUAGUUGGUGGGGUAAAGGCCUACCAAGGCGACGAUCAGUAGCUGGUCUGAGAGGACGAUCAGCCACACUGGGACUGAGACACGGCCCAGACUCCUACGGGAGGCAGCAGUGGGGAAUUUUGGACAAUGGGGGCAACCCUGAUCCAGCAAUGCCGCGUGUGUGAAGAAGGCCUUCGGGUUGUAAAGCACUUUUGUCCGGGAAGAAAUCGCACCUGAUAAUACCGGGUGUGGAUGACGGUACCGGAAGAAUAAGGACCGGCUAACUACGUGCCAGCAGCCGCGGUAAUACGUAGGGUCCAAGCGUUAAUCGGAAUUACUGGGCGUAAAGCGUGCGCAGGCGGUUGUGCAAGACCGAUGUGAAAUCCCCGGGCUUAACCUGGGAAUUGCAUUGGUGACUGCACGGCUAGAGUGUGUCAGAGGGGGGUAGAAUUCCACGUGUAGCAGUGAAAUGCGUAGAGAUGUGGAGGAAUACCGAUGGCGAAGGCAGCCCCCUGGGAUAACACUGACGCUCAUGCACGAAAGCGUGGGGAGCAAACAGGAUUAGAUACCCUGGUAGUCCACGCCCUAAACGAUGUCAACUAGUUGUUGGGGAUUCAUUUCCUUAGUAACGUAGCUAACGCGUGAAGUUGACCGCCUGGGGAGUACGGUCGCAAGAUUAAAACUCAAAGGAAUUGACGGGGACCCGCACAAGCGGUGGAUGAUGUGGAUUAAUUCGAUGCAACGCGAAAAACCUUACCUACCCU